GUGGAAAUGUAAAAAAAAAUGGGUCACGAACAUCAUGUUUUCAGAGCCAGUUGAGUUUUAGCCAAUAGACAUUUUUCUAGGGGGAUAAAUAUCAGGACUUCAGAUCAAACCUGAUUGGAAAUAAAAAUAAUAAAAAAACAUCUCCAACUUCCGAAUUUUAAUCAUAUCAAGAAGGCGUUUGUAAAAUCACAGCCCAAACUGAUAACAAAGGACACAAGCUGAAACAGCUUUUUUUUUUUUUACACACCCACAAACUGUUCAGUCUUUUCUUUAGGGCAUUUUUAGGCAAAUAGUCACUUCUGAAAUGAGGUUAGCGCAUGCCAGUCUCCUUUUGUGGACAAAUUGGAUUUUGAGAUCAGAUGAGGAACAUGUGACUUUUCUUCUUCAGAUUUAAACUCCUGGGAGUUCUUUUUCUUUUUCGUUAUCUUUCUCCUCUGGCUCAGUCAAAAUCAUCGUUUUCAAUGAAUAUACUCACUUAAAUCUGAAAAGAGUGAAGGAAUCUUGUGUAUUUUUUUUGACAGGCUGUCAUCUAGCUGUGAAGAUGGUCCUGUACUGGAUAAAAUCUACACAGAAAAUUAACGGGGGCAAUACUGUAAUUACAUGGUCUCUUUACAGACCCCUCCUUUUCUUAGCCUGGUUCCUGUCUACAUCUGUAACAAUUGCCUUUGGCUUAGAAGUCUUUAGCUACGUUCUGAUUCCAAAAAGUAGUGGGAUAAAAUAGAUGUUGGCUUAAAAAUGUGGUAUAAUGUAUUUCUAUCCAUUAUGUUCUUUCAAAACACAGAGGCAACAUCUCUACUGAAGGAAAUUAAAUUGUAUUGUGUGUGACUGAUUUAAUGAUGUAGAAAUCUUAAUAGGUGCAAAGUUUUAAACCGAUAACCUUAUUGAUGCAUAUUCUAAACUGUAACACUUGACAUGUUUGAGAUCUUUGCUCCAUUUUUGCUGUAUUAACAAUAUUAAAGUUACCAUUUGUAAGAGGAGAAAUGAAAGGUAAAACCAAAUUAUGACAUGAAUAAUUUAUUAAGCUUUUCUCAUUUUGAAGCAGUCAAUGCUUUUUGUAGUUAAAGUUUGCAGCAUACCUACCAGGUGUUUUUGUUUUGCUGUCUUUGUUUUAAAAGGUAAAAACUCAAUCUUAUUGUUUCCAUGUUUUAAGUUUCCAGGAACAGGAUUGUCUCCUUGUCUGAACAUGUGUGAUGGUUCUGGAUAGCGCACGCAAGAGACACACCUGAGUGCAUAUUUUUGUUGUUGUGCAUCUCCUUUGACUUGUACAUAUUCGUUGCUUGGGGGAUGUCUUACUUAGAGAUUUGCUGUGGGUUUGAAAAAAAACAACAACACUUUUUACAUGCUCUUUUAUGGAGAUUUAUAUCAUAAUACUAUUUAAAAAGUAGCAUUGUGUGCCUUACAAUGUUUUAACUUUACUCUGCUCAAAUAACAGCCCAACCAUUCACCUCCUCCCAAAGGGUCUCAGUAUCAUUCACCUUCUGAAAUUAUGUAAGCUGCAGCUUUUGUGUCUUUUCUUUAGUCUGCGUGCUAACAUCCCUGGGCUGUGCCAGAGCAAGCUAGCUCUUGCAGACUUGUUCCUGCUCAGAACAAUAACAUUCUCUAUCUACAUAGCAGAGGAUUAAAAAAAAGUAUUUUCAUUUGGUUCCAAAGUCAAGUUUGAAUAAAUUAGCCAAUGUGUUCAAGGAACAGAACAAGAAACCCUUAGUUUCUAAGAAGUCAGUUCUCAAAAGGAACAAACAAAGAAAAAUGAGGAAUGAGGAAAAUGUGGCGUGAGAUAUGAUCAUCAUUUUUUAUGGAAGCAGUAAAAUCUUGCAUGUUAGAAAUGGAGAAUGAACUGGUAGAUUGUUAGGACAGAGCUUCUCGAUAUUGCUUAUUUUAAUUGCUGUUGUGCUUUGCAGAAAAGUCAUGUUUUCCACAGCUGCUUCAACAUCUGCAUUUUUAUCUUUUUAGUAGACAAUAAUCCCUUUCAGACUGGGAGGAGGAGUGCCAACAAUUUUUCUAGACACUAAAUGAAGAACUGGUUCCAGUCUGGAUAGAACACGCCCAAAGAAAUUUAUAGUGUGACUCAACCUCUGCCAGCAACAAGUCCUGACAAGACGGAUACAACAGACUGAAAGGCACAACUUUCAACUACUGGCUUUGAAAAAGGAAGGAAGCCAAGAAAUUGUGUGAGAAGGUCUUUCCAAGGUUGCCGCUAAAGACCCUAGAGGUUCCCAUCGCGAGUGGGAGGGUGGGAUUGUUUACAGAGACACACAGUCUGACUGGAGAAACAGGAUAAUGGCCAAAGGCAAUCACAUGUGUAACAUCGUAACAACUUUGAGUUGCUACUACGUCAAUAAAGAACAAAAUCUUGAAGGAAGUUUUCCAAUACCUCUUGUGAAAGGUUUCACUCAGGGAAAACUAUUUAUUUACUUACUUACACAAACAGGAAUAUCAGUUAUAUAAAAAAAAAGUAUUUUGAUGCAUUUAGGCAUCUAGAAAAUGACUUGCUGAAGUUUAAAACAAGAAUCAGUCAGGAAAAGACAUGAGAUUGUUGUUAUAUUGAAUUGUGAAUGGUUUUGGUGCCUGAGUAUUUCAGAAACUGCUAACAUGCUGUGAUGCUAAUGGACACCCAUGCCUUGGUCCUACAGAGAAUAUGCUGAUAAAGAAAAGAAAAAUAAAAGAUUGGGGAGACUAGUUUGACCAGAUAGUAAGGAAACCGUUGCUCAAGUAGCUACUUCCUUCAACAAUGCUCUCGUGUCAGAGUCUAACAGUUCAAUGAAAGAGAGGCACGGUGUACCAUCACAGGAUAAAACAGGACAAACAACCAUACACAUGCACUCUCACAUGUAAAGGCAUUUUAGGAUGGUUGAUGAAUUUAACAUAUAUUGUUUUUGGAAAGAAGCCAGAGUACCCAGACAGAAUAUGGGGAGAACAUUAAAACUAAGUUGAGAAAGUCCACAACUAGCAUCAAAAACCAGGAUGUUCUGAUUGCAAGAAAGUCUUGCAUGCAGCCUAGGCAUCAUGUCAUAAAGCACAAUGAGUUCAGUGGCCAUUAGAGUCUCCAGAUCUCAAUCCAACAGACCAUCUGUAGGAUGUGGUGGAACUGUAGAUGUGCAGCUGACAAAUAUGAAGCAACUCUGAGUUGCUACUGUGUCAAUAAGAACCAAAAUCUUGAAGGAAGUUUUCCAAUACCUUCCUUGAAUUUAUGGUAUGAGUUAUCAAGCCACUGUGAUAGAAAAAAAAUGGCUCCAAACUGAGCAUCUGGCUUGAAACUCUUUAGAAGAAAAAUCUAAGUUCUUCUUCUUAUACCCUGAAAUAUUCAAAAUUCUUCCUAAAAGUGAAAUAGAGAUCUAAAAAGUUGAAAUUAAGGUAGUUGUCUCAGAGAUUGGCGAGUCUUAGCAAUCUCUUUACAUUACUGUACAAAGAUCAUAUCCUUCAUAACUCCUGUUUUUAGAGUUGAUUAGUUCAAAAUGGUGAUUAGAUUACCUUUAUCCUAGAGGGACAGAUCAACCAUUUUCCAUCUAAAAUUAACUAGGAAGAAGGGUGAAUUUACCGAGGAAUGAAAAGAUCUGAAGACAACAAGAGAGCUUGGCAUCAUCAUCAUCAGUCAGCAACUAGAUGACAUACUUUAGUCAUUCUAAUUUGGAUUUAGGUCAAAAUGUUUUCAACAAAUUAGUUGGAAAAAUAGGUCACAGAUAAAAACAACCAAAUGACCAACUUGACAGACACGUGAAUCAGGGAAACAUCCAUUGUGAAAUUUCAAGGUGUGAAGAUGAAUCAGCUAAAUUCAAAAAACUGAAUUUACAGUCAGACUCAACUGAAGGUGACCAGAACCAGAAUGUCAGUGCCUCUUUUUUUAUACUCUUUUUAGAUUUUUUUUAAUAAUAAUCUGGAUUUUUGAUAUCAUCUAAUCUCUUAGUAGACCAUUUAGUAGUCAUUUUUGUUUCAUUGUCUUUUCUGUAUGGGGAAAAUAUCUUUUAGCAAUCAAUUGUUUCAUCAACAAUAACAAGUUAACUUGAUAUCCCAAACAAAGGUCACAAACUAUGAUACUCCCAGUGUCUUUCUUCAGAGAUAAGAUAAAACUAAAGGAUGUCAUUGAUCUCUACUUUCCACUCCACAUUUUUACAAUGAAUCUCUUUGUUUUAUAUCCAGACAAUAGAACCAGAUCUGUGUGUACCCCGCCUCUCACCCAAAACUUGGGUGAGAGUUUUGGGUAUGUGCAUGCAAACAACCACAAGCAUGCACAUACCCAUGAGCAAUUCAGAGAGACCAAAUGACCAGUCAGGUUUUUUAGGAUGUGCAAAGAAGCUGCUUACUGAAAUAAAACCCCACAGACUUGUGGAAAACAUGCUAACUCCAUGCGGAAAGACCCCAGGCUGGGAUUUCAGCUGCUCCAAAUCAAAAUUUAUAUCCUGUUUUUCUCAUUGACUAGACACCACACUUAUUUAGACUUUACCACUUUCAUUGAAGUAAUUUUUUUUUUUUUUAUCUCAGAUUGUACGUACAGUAUUUUAUAUUUUAUUUUUGUAUGUUUUCUUACAUGUUAAUGUCACCUAGUUUAGAUGGAGUUCAUCCUCUUUAACAAGUAAAUGCAUCUACCCAAGGAAUCCUUUGUUCAUGUCUUAAAUAUCUUCUUUAGAAAGAAAAUAAGGGAAAUGUUUGUUCUUGUUAAAAAGUCUGAAUAUAACCAGGUUCAAACGUCAAUCUUCCAUCUAUCUGCUGAUAUCCUUUAGAAAUUACAAAGUUUCUGAAGACUGUGUUAGUUGGAUGAUUGCCUUAAAAUCUCUUCAUACGUUUCCAGUGAACUACUGAUGCCUGCAGUUUAUCAAGUCCUUGUUUGUAGAACUCCAUUUGGCUGGUUUACUUUUUUAUAUACCACUCUGUCACUGGUGACUCUGCCAAGGUAGAUGUAAACAGCUGCAUUUCAAAACCUUAGCAAGGCAAAUAAGGAGAGAGUUGCAAAUGCCCCUUAAUUCUGACUACAUCACUGCUUUGGCACGUUGCAGAGAAACUACAGUAAUCAGCCAUAUAAAACAGGGGAUAAAAAAGGCAACAUAAACAUGGAUUCCUGUAUUGGGUGGAGUCACUUUUCAGAGGAGAUGAAUCAAACCAUGGAGUGGGUGACUCCUCCUCAGUGUACCAAUCUACCCAAACAAAGAAAGCGCUGCUUCUGGCAACAGGACAAUCAGCCCGGCCAACCCUUUCGUAAAGGGUGGAAGGCUUUCGUCAAAUGGAAAAGGAAGAAUAAGACAGGAAGGAAGGCUGAGAUCUUUGCUCAGCCGCAAGGCUUGUGCAGAGUCAACAAAUUCCUUUAAUGUAGAGAAGGUGGAUGGUUUACACUACUUAAGCACAUUCCCCUCUCUUCCACCCGCCAUGUUAGUUUUUUAUAAAAAAUGAGAAAGAAGCAUUUUAAAGCACAAAAUAACAUUUAUUACAAAAUAUUAACACAUAUGCAGUGAGGUCGAAUGUAAAAUAUCCACAUCCUGAUCAGCUGUGUUUAUGAAAACCACAUUCUUGCCCCCGGCAUAAACACAGACAGCAGAAAAACACAACAACACUAACAAAAA